CCACCUGUCAGUCAAAAGAACCGCAACUUCUAAUUACACGUGUUGACAGCUUGUCCAACUGAAUUUCGCAUCGAUGGAAUUUCACGGAGUGCCUUUAGUGUUCUUGCUUCCUCUUUACUCCUUUAUAUAGGUCCUUGCAUUAGAUGGACUUUAAAAAGGAUUUUACUAGAAAAACCCAACAUAAUUUUGUGUUCGGGAAAGAAACUGUGAACAACCUUAGCUAUUAUAAUCACUCUGAGGUAAUAGGGACAAGAAUUUCACCUGUGUGACAAGAGGAGCCAUUUAAUACUAUUCCUAAAAUAAUAUUCUCUGAAGAAAGGCCAUAGAGUCUUCCUCAAAUAGUUUUUUUGGGACUCAAAUCUAAUACUGUAUAAAAGGCACAUUCCCUUCAGAGGAAGGUCAUAGGUUAGAGCAUGAGUUUGUGUCACAUUUUACAUGGAUUUGCUGCAUAUGCAAAUAUAGGACUUAAACUUUGGAAUCUCUGUUUCUCAAAAAUUAAACUGGCACCAGUGGAAUCUGUCCCUUGACUACAGUAUAAGAAUGACUUGGGAAAAAUCCAAUACUGAUCUUCACAUUCUAAAUGGAAAAGCUUUGUCCUGGGAGCACAAAUAACUGGUGUGUUUUAAAAUAAGCUGCUACAGGGGUUCUUAACACCUGGUCCCCAACAAGAAAGCAGAAGCAGCAACUUUGAAAUUUGAUAGGUGUCUAAAUUCUCUGGUGCCACCUGAGGCCCUAACUCAGACCUACGAAUCAGAAAUUCUGGGAGUGAGCCCCGCACUGUGGGUUUUAACAAGCCCUUGGGAUGGUUCUAAAGUUAUGUUCAAGUUUGCAUGGUCAAGAAAAAUUCAUGUCACGCACAGUUUAACUCUGUCUCCUCAUAGGAAGAAGCUUUAAAGCUUAAAUGAUCAGUUCCACCUAGGCCCAGCCCAUUCUGAUAUAUGGACAGAAAUAUCCACCAAUCCAAUGUAAAAUACAAUUUAAAGGAAAAUUGAUCCUAACAAACACUCCUUACUUGUGUAACUGAGCUUCAGGCAGGAUCUCCAAUCAAAGAGAUUUCAGCUUUUCUAGUUCUUUUCUUUUCUAGUUCUUUUUUAAAACCAACAGCUAAUCUGCUUUGCCUGACUGCCCAGGGUCUAGAGAAUGACCUUGGACACCUGUUUCUUGAUUAGCUCUGGCCCAUUUGCCUUAAUGCUAAACCGACAUUUAACAGAACCGAGUUAUAGUUAAUGACAAGGUCUACUAGUUUGAAGAGACGGUAUGGACAGAACUAAAAUGACUACUGAUUCCAAGUGAGCUUUGGUUUUAGGAGAUAGUUUCAAAGGCUCACAUAGCUCAUAAAAGCUGGAAACCACAGACAGAGUAGACAUCAAUCUCAAGACCCCUGGGAGCUUUUUCCUAGGCUUAUUUGAAUUGGUGCAGAACCAGACUGGAGAGCCAGCAAGUGAUUUUGCUUCUAAAAAUGGCUUAAGUAAGGGAGUUUAAGAUAGUAGGUUACGUGUGUGUGCAUAUGUGUGUAUGCUUCCUUAAUUCAAACCUGAAAAUAACACAUUAACAGCUACUUCAAACAUCCAUAUGUAUUGUGGCCCCUCCUGUUGAUCCAGAAAAGUAAAUUCAAAGUUGGCAAAAAAGAGGCCUCAAAUAGAAUCUCAACAGUAAUAUUUUGAAGAAAAAUGUUAAACUAUCUUUCCAGGUCUCCCUUAGAAGGAGUCAGACUGGUCAGAUACCUUCACAUGACUGCUAUUUUUCAGGAAUUACUGAAAAAGAUAAUUGAUAUAUCAUAAUGUUCUACUUGCUUCUCUAAAAUCUGUCGACCUGGUCAAAGUUUGAGCAUUUGGGUGUCCCAUCCCACGUUCUGCCUCUGACAGCUUUUUCUCACUGGCUCUUCCCUGAUGUGACCUGACCAUCACAUAGCCCCAGCUAAAGCACAGUCUCUCCAUCCUCUGUCCCCACCCCCGUGCCCAUCUCCAUCUACAUAUUGUCUUUCAUUCAAAGUUAAAGGCUCACUGAGAAGAUACUUCUUAGAAUAAUCACCAAAUGUCAAGAUGCUUAUUGAGGGGACAUGCACUUUUGUAGGGGAGGGGCUGGAUCACACUGACUGGGACUCACUCAGGUCCAGCACCUUGACCUCUCUUCCAAAACUUUGCAGUCCACAAGGCCAACUUAUAGCGGUGGCUAGCCUUUCUUCAGCUCAGAUCUGAUCCCUGGCCCGGGAAAUCCAUAAGCCAUGGGGUGGCCAAAAAAGAAAAUACUCUCAGAAAGCUUAGGAAAAUAAGUUACAUCUUCUAAGGCCCUUUUAACCUAUAUGGUACCUUAAAAAGGCCUUGACAUUAGAAGGUAACAGAUAAUAUCCUGGCAGCUUUUGCCUUUCAGUGCCAUUCACAGUGAUUUUCACAGGCCAGUGGUGCAAUUUAACCCUUCUAAUAAGCCAUAAUAAUAGUUGUUGGCACAACUGUUAUUACAAUGGGGACUUCCCUGGAUUUCAUCUAUUAAUUUGCGUAGACAGUAGGAAGCUCACACUGAAGAGACAUUUUGAGCUUCCUAGAUGAGGGCAACAGAAGGAACCAGGACCUUGUACAGACUGUAUAUCUGCACAAAACAUAGCUUCAUGCCCUGGGAGUGCCCUGUGAGGGGCAGGUGAGAUGGGAGAAUUCAAGGAGGAAACAUUUAGAACAUCUCCUUUGUCUUUGAUCGCAAUUCAUUCCCACUGAAUAAGCUUGGUGGAUACUUUGAUAGUGAACUUAACUCCUUCUAGCUAGCACAACAGGCAAUCCUUAAAAAAAAAAAAGGGAGGCAGGACAUUGUGUCAAAGGUGCCUCUUCCUGAGCGGUGACAAUUAAUUCCCUGUAAGAGACAGGAGAAAAAAAAAAAAAAAAGACGCACCUAUUCACAUUCUGUAUGCUCAGUGUAAAGGACCCACCACAAACUCCCCAGACAGAGAGGGGGAGGAUGGAAAGACGAGGGGCAAAAAUGCAGACAGCAAUCCUAACGUUCCUCUAGUUGACCCCGAAGGUGUUCACAUGUCUAAAGCUAUUUUUUAAAUCACUGCAUUUUGAAAUUUCUGAGUAGUGAUAUGUCAGUUUUACAUUUGAAUGCUUAACUGACUUUUUCCAGGUUCUAUUCUUCCAUGCCGAUGAGUGUAAUCUCUAAGACUUGCCAUUUUGAGUACAUACACACCACCACACACACACACGUAGACACACACAGACACACACACAAAGGUAAAUGCGUUACAGAUUAUUCAUUUUGUGGGAAACACAAUGUAUUAUAACCAAAAAGAUUCUAGUGGAUUCUUUCAAUGUAUUUCAGUGAUAAUAUUUUGUGGGAAAUAAAGGUAUUCAUACCUUCUCUUUGUUGACCAUCUUGUUGAAUUUAUGAUCUUAAGCAACACUGUUAAAAAUGUCUGUGUAAAAUAUCAAUGAAUCCAUAUUCCUUGAAUUUGACUUUCAAAAAAAAUAUGUGCUAUUUUUUUCUAUCUGUGGUGUUUUCCUAUUAACCUGUAGUAGUGAGCAAGUGAGUGAUAAUCAUCAAAAAGGAAAAUGGCCUACACAAAAUGUUAAAAGUGGAGGAAGUUAUUAUAGGCUUCUGCCAAACACCAUUGUUUCAUAAUCUAGAUUAACUUUCUUCCAUGAUUAUAAGAAAUGCUCACUCACCCUGUCAUCUUCUGUCUUUUGAAAAUUCAUAUUUUGUAUUUCUAAGGGCCAAGGAAGAUGUUUUUUAAGCCAAUGUAACACACAGGCACCUUGGAAAGGAGACAUGCAAUGACUUGGGUCAACUACAUAAGGGCAGGUUAGCAUUCCAACAUCUGAUGGCAAAUUUAGCACUCUUUCCUAUAAUCCUUAUAGUGCACUAAAUUACAUUUGGGGAUUUCAGCUGCUCUUUUCAAAUUAAAGGCACCAACAUUAACAAUAGAUCCCAUCUAACAUGGAGAGGUAUUAAAACAUUCUCGUUCAAGCACCUUAAGUGAGUGGAAAUUACCGUCUAAUUUCCCCACCUCACCAUCUCAUGUAAAUUAACCUGGAGGUCUAACAGUGUCACAUAGAAGGUUAUGAGACUACGCAGACUAUGAGAUUUGUGCAGUUAGCAAGAACUAGCCAUUAAAAAAAUAUAUUCAAAUGUUUUGUACAUAAAAUUUUCGAUUCCUAUAGUUUUGUUCAAACUGCUGUCUUUUAAAAUAAUUAGAUAUUAUUUGAAUUUUAAAAAUAAUCUAAGUUAGAUGUUGCUUUAUGGACUCUGUAAUUCAAUGUACACUCAGCCAUAUUCCUGUGGGAAAACAUCAAUCUUACUGACUUUCUUGGCAUGAGCCAGAUCUUCAUAGAUUCUUUAAGGACUCUAAGUAUGAGACAUAAAACGAAACAAAACAAACAAAAAAAACCCACCAAAAUUAAAUGCUAGUGAAGAAAUUAGAAACCUAUUGUAUAAAAUGUAUUUUUAAAAUCUUAAGAUAUAUGUGAUUAACACUGCCUGUUAAUCCAGUCUCUUUGUGAAAUAACCACAGCAUAAUAUUUGUUAAGACUCUUAAACACCAAAUAUUUGUGAUGUUUGUAUAGCACCAUUGUUAUAGCACGUGAUUUCCAAUGGUAAGCAUCUUUGUUGUAAUCAUGUCAGCCCACAGAAGAAUUUAUUCUGCUGUUAUGUACAACCAGCUCUCAGAAUUCAGAUUUCCUGCAGCUGCUGUAUCACCAAUAAAUGAGAAUUAAUUGUGAAAACAGUUUUUAAAGAAUUGAGUUUAUGAUCACUGUGCAUUUUCCUAAUGAAUGAAUUCAGAGAGUUUUAUUUUUACCAGAAAUGCUCUCUCUCAGUCAGUAAAUACAACUGCUGAUUUCAACCGUACUAUGAUUUCAAUGGUUUCUAUAUUCUUGAUCUAACUACCAAAAACCAGAAGCUUGUUUCAAGAUGCGUCCUAACAAAUGUAUAAUAAAUGACUUUUCCUGCAUGCCGCCUGAGAUACAUUGUAAUUUGAAAUGUCUUAUUCAACAAAUUAUAUAUUUCACAACCCCAAAAUGAACUGGCAAUAUUUCUCAUGUGUAUAACUGAUAAUAUGUUAAUAUCAAAAUCAGAAGCAGUAUCUGUCAUACAUGUAUGUUUGUUAUAUGUGACAUUUAACUUGCUAAACUGUAAUCUGUCAAGUGUUCAUUGCCUGAACUCAACUCCAUACAAUUCAUUGUCUUAACUGUUUCCUAAUCAUAACAUAUUUCGUAACACUUAAAUAUAAAUGUUUGUAAAU
rnacentral:lncRNA from 1 species